GUGUCAGCCGCCGCGGUAAUACGUAGGGGGCGAGCGUUGUCCGGAAUUACUGGGCGUAAAGGGUGCGUAGGCGGCCUAAUAAGUCAGAUGUGAAAUACCACGGCUCAACCGUGGGGGUGCAUUUGAAACUGUUGGGCUUGAGUGCAGGAGAGGAAAGCGGAAUUCCUAGUGUAGCGGUGGAAUGCGUAGAUAUUAGGAGGAACACCAGUGGCGAAGGCGGCUUUCUGGACUGUAACUGACGCUGAGGCACGAAAGCGUGGGUAGCGAACAGGAUUAGAUACCCUGGUAGUCCACGCCGUAAACGAUGGAUACUAGGUGUAGGGAGUAUCGACCCUUCCUGUGCCGUAGUUAACGCAAUAAGUAUCCCGCCUGGGGAGUACGUGCGCAAGCAUGAAACUCAAAUGAAUUGACGG
rnacentral:rRNA from 1 species